rnacentral:rRNA from 1 species
GAUGAACGCUGGCGGCGUGCCUAAUACAUGCAAGUAGAACGCUGAAGGAGGAGCUUGCUCUUCUGGAUGAGUUGCGAACGGGUGAGUAACGCGUAGGUAACCUGCCUGGUAGCGGGGGAUAACUAUUGGAAACGAUAGCUAAUACCGCAUGACAACAGUUAUUGCAUGAUAACUGUUUAAAAGGGGCAACUGCUCCACUACCAGAUGGACCUGCGUUGUAUUAGCUAGUUGGUGAGGUAACGGCUCACCAAGGCGACGAUACAUAGCCGACCUGAGAGGGUGAUAGGCCAAACUGGGACUGAGACACGGCCCAGACUCCUACGGGAGGAAGCAGUAGGGAAUCUUCGGCAAUGGACGGAAGUCUGACCGAGCAACGCCGCGUGAGUGAAGAAGGUUUUCGGAUCGUAAAGCUCUGUUGUAAGAGAAGAACGAGUGUGAGAGUGGAAAGUUCACACUGUGACGGUAUCUUACCAGAAAGGGACGGCUAACUACGUG